UACGGAGGAUGCAAGCGUUAUCCGGAUUCAUUGGGUUUAAAGGGUGCGCAGGCGGAGAGAUAAGUCAGUGGUGAAAAACUGCCGCUCAACGGUAGUCUUGCCAUUGAUACUGUCUUUCUUGAGUAUGGAUGAGGUAGGCGGAAUGUGCAGUGUAGCGGUGAAAUGCAUAGAUAUUACACAGAACACCGAUUGCGAAGGCAUCUCACAAAGCCGUUAUUGACGCUGAGGCACGAAAGUGUGGGGAU
rnacentral:rRNA from 1 species